ACUCGGGGAUAGCCUUUCGAAAGAAAGAUUAAUACCCGAUGGCAUAGUUCUUCCGCAUGGUAGAACUAUUAAAGAAUUUCGGUCAUCGAUGGGGAUGCGUUCCAUUAGGUUGUUGGCGGGGUAACGGCCCACCAAGCCUUCGAUGGAUAGGGGUUCUGAGAGGAAGGUCCCCCACAUUGGAACUGAGACACGGUCCAAACUCCUACGGGAGGCAGCAGUGAGGAAUAUUGGUCAAUGGACGAGAGUCUGAACCAGCCAAGUAGCGUGAAGGAUGACUGCCCUAUGGGUUGUAAACUUCUUUUAUACGGGAAUAAAGUGAGGCACGUGUGCCUUUUUGCAUGUACCGUAUGAAUAAGGAUCGGCUAACUCCGUGCCAGCAGCCGCGGUAAUACGGAGGAUCCGAGCGUUAUCCGGAUUUAUUGGGUUUAAAGGGAGCGUAGGCGGACGCUUAAGUCAGUUGUGAAAGUUUGCGGCUCAACCGUAAAAUUGCAGUUGAUACUGGGUGUCUUGAGUACAGUAGAGGCAGGCGGAAUUCGUGGUGUAGCGGUGAAAUGCUUAGAUAUCACGAAGAACUCCGAUUGCGAAGGCAGCUUGCUGGACUGUAACUGACGCUGAUGCUCGAAAGUGUGGGUAUCAAACAGGAUUAGAUACCCUGGUAGUCCACACAGUAAACGA
rnacentral:rRNA from 1 species